UAUCAAGGUUAUUGUAUGCCAAUAGGACAGAGCAGAACCUUUUACCAGCCUAAAUGCGUACACUGCAGCUGUUCUUAAACAGUGCUGUCAUGUUGUUCAAUAGGCGCUAUAGUAAGAGGCUUGGGGCCAGAAUGUAAAAUUGUUCAGGAUGGCUGUACUCAACUUGCAGUUUUGAAGUCGGAUAGCAACAUAGCAUGUUCUUCUGGAUUUGCAGUUGGCAGGUGACCUGUUGGAAUUCGUUAUCAUAGAAGUGUUUUUGAUUUUAGAAUGAGAGCCAUGACGUUCGUGACCAUAUGACAAUUUUGACUUUAAUCAAAUGCAAUAUGAUUAAAAAUAAAUAAGAAAUUGUACUGUU